GAAGUAGUAAUAGAGGUAGUAGUAGUAGUGGUAGAAGUAGUAAUAGUAGUAAUAGUGGUGGUAGUAGUAGUAAUAGUAGUAGUUUAUAAUAUUAGACGUAGUAGUGGUAGAAGUAGUAAUAGUAAGUAGUAGUAGUGCAGUAGUAGUAGUAGAGGUAUUAGUAAUAGUAGUAGUAGCUGUGGUAGUAGUAGUAGUAGCAGCAGCAGUAGUAAUAGUAGUGGUAGUAGCAGUAGUAAUAGUAGUGGUAGUCGUAGUAGUGGUAGUAGUAGCAGUAGUAAUAGUUGUAGUAGUAGCAGUAGUAAUAGUAGUGGUAGUAGCAGUAGUAGUGGUAGUAGCGGUAGCAGUAGUAAUAGUAGUGGUAGUAGUAGCAGUAGUAGUGGUAGUAGUAGCAGUAGUAGUGGUAGUAGUAGUAGGAGUAGUAGGAGUAGAAGUGGUGGUAGUAGUAGUAGUGGUAGUAGCGGUAGCAGUAGUAAUAGUAGUGGUAGUAGUAGUAGGAGUAGUAGGAGUAGUGGUGGUGGUAGUAGUAGUAAUAGUAAUGGUAGUAGCGGUAGUAGUAGCAGUAGUAGUGUAGUAGCAGUAGUGAUAGUAAUAGUAGUGGUGGUAGUAGUAGUAGUAGUAGUAGUAGUGUAGUAGCAGUAGUGAUAGUAAUAGUAGUGGUGGUAGUAGUAGUAGUAGUGUAGUAGCAGUAGUAGUAGUGGUGGUGGUGGUAUUAGUAGCAGUAGUAGUGUAAUAGCAGUAGUAGUGGUAUUAGUAAUAGUAAUAGUAGUAGCAGUAGUACUAAUAGUAGUGUAGUAGUAGUAGCAGUAGUACUAAUAGUAGUGGUUGUAGUAGCAGUAGUAGUUGUAGUGGUGGUAGUAGCAGUAGUAGUAGUGGUGGUAUUGGUAAUAGAAGUAGUAGUGUAGUAGCAGUAGUAGUAGUAAUAGUAGUGGUAGUAGUAGUAGCAGUAGUACUAAUAGUAGUGGUGGUAGUUGUAGUAGUGGUAGUAGUAGUGUAGUAGUAGUUGUAGUGGUAUUGGUAAUAGAAGUAGUAGUGUAGUAGCAGUAGUAGUAGCAGUAGUACUAAUAGUAGUGGUGGUAGUAGCAGUAGUAGUAGUAAUAGUAGUGGUAGUAGUAGUAGCAGUAGUACUAAUAGUAGUGGUGGUAGUAGCAGUAGUAGUAGUAAUAGUAGUGGUAGUAGUAGUAGCAGUAGUACUAAUAGUAGUGGUGGUAGUAGUAGUUGUAGUGGUGGUAGUAGCAGUAGUAGUUGUAGUGGUGGUAGUAGCAGUAUAGUAGUAGUAGUAGUAGUAGUGGUAUUGGUAAUAGAAGUAGUAGUGUAGUAGCGGUAGUAGUAGUAAUAGUAGUGGUAGUAGUAGUGUAGUAGCGGUAGUAGUAGUAAUAGUAGUGGUAGUAGUAGUGUAGUAGUAGUUGUAGUAGUGGUAG
ensembl:lncRNA